GGAAAAAAAAAUAUUAAAAUUAAAAAUGAAUAUUAGUUAUAAUAAUUAUUAAAUAAUGAGUAAUUAAGGUGAUUAAUAUUUGACAAAUUAUAAUGAGAUAACGAACCGAGAAUGAGAUACAAAAGUGGUGACCUCCUCGGUUAUGCAGUCCUUAUGCUCACUUUGCAUCUCAAUGGUCGAGUCGAGGGUGGAGGUGUCUGCAAAGAUUCCCAGGGACAUACAUACAAUACUGGAUUUUUGUACAUUCCAGAGCCUUGUACUGUUUGUGUUUGUGACAAUGGCAGUCCAAAGUGGUGUAAAGCUGUUAUAUGCACUCUAUCACAGAAACCAAUGCCAAAACAAGAUUGUAAAUCAUUUAGAAUUGAUGGUACACCAUGCUGUGAAUUUAUUUGUCUUGAUGAUACCUUGUCAUCUGGUACAAAUGAUAAAUCAGAUGGUAUUGAAAAUUCAUCAGAAACAAGUGCAAAUUAUGAUUUAGGAUUACGUCUUGUUGCCAGUUGUUUUACAGCAAUAUUAUCAUUGAGUUUAUUAUUUUUUCUUAUUCAUCGUUUACGUCAACGUAAAAUACGAGUAUGUGUAGCAGGUAGACAAAAUCGUCAAUUGACUGAUGAUCAACGUACACUUGGAAAUAUGGGAUACCUUGAACGUGGUGGUUUACCUCAUGGUGUACAAAUGGAUGAUCUAGCAUGUGGUGGUGGUUAUCCAUUAUGGAAACCACCAGGUAAUUAUUUUCCACGUGGUGAAGCACCACCACCAUAUGAAGAAGCUGUUGCUGCAGCACGUGCUGAACAAGCAUUAUUAUCAAUGCAACAACCACAUGCAACAUUAUCACCAUUAAAUUUACAAAAUACAUAUUUAACAACACAUACAAUACAUCCAACAGUAACACUUGUAACUGGUAUGCAAAAUACAUUAACAGCAAAUUCACCAACACCAUCAAAUCAUAUACCAAGUCCAUCAUCAUCAUCAUCAUGUGGUACAAGUCGUCAAUUGAGUCAAAUUAAUUCACACUGUCAUCAACAACAAAAUCAUCAACAAAUACAACAAAUUGAUAAUAAUAGUUUAUCAAGUGGUGGUGUUGUUGGUGUUGCUGGUGGUGGUGGUGUUGGUGUUGCUGGUGGUACAAGUGGUUACUAUAACAAUACAAUUGUUAAUACAAAUUACAAUGUUGGCACAAGUACAUAUGAAAAUUUACCAGGACCUAUAACACUAUCAAACAUAGCACCACAACAACAACAACAUACAAAUGUUAAUAAUCACUUUAAUAAUAUAAAUAAUAAUACAAAUAAUAAUAGUAAUAAUAAUAUUACAAAUAAUACAAACAACAAAAAUAAUAAUAAUUUAAAUAAUAAUAGUAAUAAUAAUAUAAAUAAUAAUACAAAUAAUUGUCAUCAAUUACAAUCAACAAUAUCAAAUAAUAUAAAUACUAAAAAUUAUCAUACAACAUUACCAAGACAAGGUUCAGCAUUUACAAUAUCAACAAAUACUGGUAUAUCAACACAUCGUACAAUACCACGUACACUUGCAACAAGUAAUCAUUUACGUAUACGACGUGAUUUAUUGAUAAAUCAAUCAGUAUUAUGUGAUACAAAAAAAAUUAAUAAUAUAACAUCGACAAUUAAUAAAUUACCAAAUUCAGCACCACCAAUUGUAACAUCAUCAAAUAAAUUAUUACAAAAAAAAUUUAACAUUGAAACAUUGAAAGAUUUUAAAUUUAAUCAUUCAAUUAAUAAAAAUGAUGAUGCAUAUUGUAAAAUUGAAGCUGGACCGAGUAAUAUUAAUUCAGCAAUUAAAAAGCCAACACCAUUGAUAUCACGUGCUGGAACAAAUCAAGAUGAAAGUUUCGAUUCGGUAACUUGUCAUUGUAGUAUGCAAGCAUUACCAACAAUGCAUGAUGAUGCUGAUGAUUAUCGUAGUGAAUGUGAAAAUUGUAAAAGUGCAACUGGAUCACGUUAUUAUUUAGAUAAUGAAGAUGAAUUGGUGACAUCACCACAUGAAACAAUGACGUUACAUAGAAGACCUGAAGAAACAACAACAAGUGUUACACCACAAUAUUACAGAACUUCAUUGACACUUCCAACAAGUACUCGUCAACGUACAAGAAGUACUGGUGGAAGAAAUUGGUUCAAUUCAAUGCCUGAAAGUUCAACAGAAUCUUCUGAUGAUGAUUGAUAACUCUGAAAGUCUUCAUUAGUUGCAGAAUUUAAAAUAAAUUUAUGAAAAAAAAAAUAAACUAUUAUAAGAUAAAACUUGCAAUUCGAAAUUCGAAAUAUUAAAAUAAAUAAUUUUAAUAAAAUCAUCAUGAUUUUACAACCAAUAUCAUAAAAAUUUUUUUGUUUGGGUAAAUUUGGCAAAUGCAAUUGUGUGAUUUUUAAGUGGGUAAAUAUAAAAAAAUCCUGUAGAAUCUCUGGGACCUGAUUUAAAUCAUUUUAAUUAUUAAAAAAAAAAAAUAAUUAAACGUCGUCAAGAAUAAUUCUUAUAAAUAUUAUAUCCAUCUAUUUUUAUUUUUUUUUUUGAUAGAUUAAUUGUUUGAAUUUCACGACGAGAAUAGGACGUCUAGUCAUGCGUUAACGAAACAAAUAUAAAUUUAAAAAAAAAAAACAUAAUUACUGUGCAAAUCAAA
rnacentral:misc_RNA from 1 species